rnacentral:rRNA from 1 species
CCUACGGGAGGCAGCAGUGGGGAAUAUUGCACAAUGGGGGAAACCCUGAUGCAGCGACGCCGCGUGAGUGAAGAAGUAUUUCGGUUUGUAAAGUUCUAUCAGCAGGGAAGAAAAUGACGGUAUCUAAUUAAGAAGCACCGGCUAACUACGUGCCAGCAGCCGCGGUAAUACGUAGGGGGCAAGCGUUAUUCGGAUUUACUGGGUGUAAAGGGAGCGUAGGCGGGAGCACAAGUCUGGAGUGAAAUGCCGGGGCUUAACCCCGGAACUGCUUUGGAGACUGUGCAGCGAGAGGGCAGGAGAGGUAAGUGGAAUUCCUGGUUUAGCGGUGAAAUGCGUAGAUAUUAGGAGGAACACCAGUGGCGAAGGCGGCUUACUGGACUGUAACUGACGUUGAGGCUCGAAAGCGUGGGGAGCGAACGGGAUUAGAUACCCCAGUAGUC